rnacentral:tRNA from 1 species
GGGGAUAUGGCGGAAUUGGUAGACGCGCCAGACUCAAAAUCUGGUGCCCUCGGGCGUUCCGGUUCGACUCCGGAUAUCCCUACCA